rnacentral:rRNA from 1 species
UACGUAGGGCGCGAGCGUUGUCCGGAAUUAUUUGGGCGUAAAGAAGCUCGUAGGCGGUUUGUGCGUCGGUUGUGAAAACCCCAAGGCUCAACCUUGGGCCUGCAAUCGAUACGGGCAGACUAGAGUACUGCAGGGGAGACUUGGAAUUCCUGGUGUAGCGGUGAAAUUGCGCAGAUAUCAGGAGGAACACCGGUGGACGAAAGGCGGGGUCUCUGGGCCGAAACUGACGCUGGAGGAGCGAAAGCGUGGGGAGCAAACAGG